GUGCCAGCCGCCGAGGUAAUACCGGCAGCCCGAGUGAUGGCCGAUCUUAUUGGGCCUAAAGCGUCCGUAGCUGGCUGCGCAAGUCCAUCGGGAAAUCCACCUGCUCAACAGGUGGGCGCCCGGUGGAAACUGUGCGGCUUGGGACCGGAAGGCGCGACGGGUACGUCCGGGGUAGGAGUGAAAUCCCGUAAUCCUGGACGGACCACCGAUGGCGAAAGCACCUUGGAAGGACGGAUCCGACAGUGAGGGACGAAAGCUAGGGUCUCGAACCGGAUUAGAUACCCCAGUAGUCC
rnacentral:rRNA from 1 species